rnacentral:misc_RNA from 1 species
AUAAGAUCAGUGUGUACAGUGCGCCACUCGCCCCGCAAGAUGUAGAUCCUCUGUCGAUAAUCUCCGCGAUCUGGCCGAAGGUAACGCAGGGGCAGAAGCAAGUCAUGCAGCAGUUGCUAAAGUCGUCGCAGCAGUCGCAGAGGCCGCUGGACCACGGCACCCGCCCCUGUGAUUCGGUCUCGAACACGGCAUGGUUGUUGAACUGGUUGAUGGAGCUCAACGGGACGCCGGUUGCCGCUGGGGCUGGGAAGCCGCUGGGUUUGG